rnacentral:tRNA from 2 species
GGUCCCGUGGCUUAGCCAGGAUAUAGCAUCGGGCUUCUAACCCGAGGGCCGGGGGUUCAAAUCCCUCCGGGAUCG